rnacentral:lncRNA from 10 species
UCCUGCCUCAGCCUCCGGAGUAGCUGGGACUACAGGCGCCCGCAACCACGCCCGGCUAAUUUUUCUAUUUUUAGUAGAGACAGGGUUUCACCGUGUUAGCCAGAAUGGUCUCGAUCUCCUGACCUUGUGAUUCACCCGCCUCGGCCUCCCAAAGUGCUGGGAUUACAGGCGUGAGCCACCGCGCCCGGCCCAGGGUUGGUUUCUUCUGAGGCCUCUCUCCUUGGCUUGCAGAUGGCUAUCUUCUCCAUGUCUUCAUGUGGUCUUCCCGUGUGGUGCGUCUGUGUCUAAACCUCUUCUUGUAAGGACACCAGUCAUACUGCUACCAAGGCAAGAUUUGGAAAAAAAAAAGAAAAGAAAAGAAAAAAAACUGCAAAUGAAAUAAACCUCUCAUCCUGAGUCCCCAUGAAAAGAACAACCACCCAGUGACCAGGAAUAUUCACUUCGACCAAAAAGAACUUGUGAAAGUUGUCAGAGUCAAAAUGGAGCCACUUGUGUUAAAGACUGUGCCAAGUGGCAUCGAGGAUGGCCGUGAACGGAGGGUUCUUAUGCACAAAUGCCUGACGGCAACGACUAUCACAAAAGACUCCGCAAAAACCACAACCUUGUGAAAGAAAGGCCCACCACAACCUUACUACACACAAAAAAACUUCUGCAAGGACAUCUGCACAGCAACUUCCUGUCUAACCUUGGACCGGCACCACCCUUGUUAUGGAUCCUUAUAGCUAACAAUAAUUAUCACAAAACAAUUUUAUAAUCUUCUUCAUUUUUCCUUUAAAAAUAUUUGUCUUCCUUUACCUACCUGAGCUGAGCAUGCAUGUAGUUUGCUAUGGUAUGUAUAUUGCUGUUACAAUGCCCAUUUUUGAAUAAAUAUCCUUUUCUUUCAGAGAGCCUCUCUCUGUUUUCUAAUGUGACAAACUCAAUUCUUAAGCUAAAGCUUAAGGAAGUAUUUUACAGCUUCCUCAAACAGUCAUCGGUUCUGUUAAAUAUUCUGACUUCCAGGUCCAGUGCAGACAUG